rnacentral:rRNA from 1 species
UGAUGUUAGCGGCGGACGGGUGAGUAACACGUGGGUAACCUGCCUGUAAGACUGGGAUAACUCCGGGAAACCGGGGCUAAUACCGGAUGCUUGAUUGAACCGCAUGGUUCAAUUAUAAAAGGUGGCUUUUAGCUACCACUUACAGAUGGACCCGCGGCGCAUUAGCUAGUUGGUGAGGUAACGGCUCACCAAGGCGACGAUGCGUAGCCGACCUGAGAGGGUGAUCGGCCACACUGGGACUGAGACACGGCCCAGACUCCU